UUGGAUUUAUGGUCAUCUUGGCAAUGUAUUCCGCUGCCUUGGUUUCAAUAUAAAGGGUGAUCAAUCCAUCUGUCACCAGGUCGUGGAUAGACUCAAAACGUUUCUCUCCAACAAAGUGUUUUCCAUCAUAGUAGAGUCUGAAGUUUCUAGUUUGAUUUCCAAAUCUGCCUCAAUGGAACAGAACAAUACAUAUAUACAUUAAAAAUAGACAACCCUGGGCACAUUGUUUUCUAAAAAACUAAGGAAAAGGUCAUGUAGAUGGGGUCAAGUUCAAAAGCAACAAGCUAUAACAGACUACUCAUGGGACAGUGUAUAGAUCCGUGAUGGUGAAUCUUUUAGACACCGAGUGCCCAAACUGCGCGUGCAUGCCCAAACUGAAAGAUUUUAAAGCACAAUAAUUUUGAUACUCAAUUAUUGGCAAAACACGGAUGAUCACAUCUGAAGGUCUUCAACUUUGCAAUCAAAUAUUAAUCUACCACAGGGAAUAAUGCAAAAAUCAGGCCAGGAACCAAUUGCAAGAGCAGGUGCAUGUUAAUUUAAAAUAUUCCCUUGUUCCCUUCCCCACCCCACUCCAUUUUAAAAGAAAUUGAUGUGUCUUUAUUAGUUGAACAAGUGAUCAAAGUUACUGUCCCAUUAUAUAUCACGGACAAUAUCUGUUUGAAUGCUAUGUAUUUUUGCAUGCUCCAAAAUGAAUUAAUAUAGAAAUAAAAGCUUUAUAUGUUGCUUCCCCCCCCCCUUAUUUUUGGGAGCCUUGCAUAAUGUACAACCCAACCAUCCAUUCCCCAAAUGUGAAGAUGUAAAUGAACUCUAGAAUGUCUUUAUCAACUGUUCUAAUUACUAAUAUAUUACACUAGAUUUAAAAUUAAACUCUUGUUUUUCAAUGA